CUAAUCUUAACGGUGGAUCACUCGGCUCGU
rnacentral:rRNA from 1 species